AUAACAAUGCGGCACUCUUUUGAGACCCCGUAAAUAGAAUGAGUACACUCUAAAUCCUGCAAGGAGGAUCAACUGGAGUCCAAGUCUGCUGUUAGCAGCUGCGGUAAUUCCAGCAU
rnacentral:rRNA from 1 species